AACAAGAAGGAAUAUGGUUUGACAGUUAUUGUAGUGAUUAAAAAAUAACUGUCAAACCGUAUUCCUUCUUGUU
rnacentral:pre_miRNA from 1 species